GACGAACGCUGGCGGCGUGCUUAACACAUGCAAGUCGAACGUGAUUUUUGUGGAAAUUCUUUCGGGAAUGGAAAUGAAAUGAAAGUGGCGAACGGGUGAGUAACACGUGAGCAACCUACCUUACACAGGGGGAUAGCCGUUGGAAACGACGAUUAAUACCGCAUGAGACCACAGAAUCGCAUGAUAUAGGGGUCAAAGAUUUAUCGGUGUAAGAAGGGCUCGCGUCUGAUUAGCUAGUUGGAAGGGUAAAGGCCUACCAAGGCGACGAUCAGUAGCCGGUCUGAGAGGAUGAACGGCCACAUUGGAACUGAGACACGGUCCAAACUCCUACGGGAGGCAGCAGUGGGGAAUAUUGCACAAUGGGGGGAACCCUGAUGCAGCGACGCCGCGUGAGCGAAGAAGGUUUUCGAAUCGUAAAGCUCUGUCCUAUGAGAAGAUAAUGACGGUAUCAUAGGAGGAAGCCCCGGCUAAAUACGUGCCAGCAGCCGCGGUAAUACGUAUGGGGCGAGCGUUGUCCGGAAUUAUUGGGCGUAAAGGGUACGUAGGCGGUUUUUUAAGUCAGGUGUGAAAGCGUGAGGCUUAACCUCAUUAAGCACUUGAAAACUGGAAGGCUUGAGUGAGGGAGAGGAAGUGGGAUUUUCUAGUUGUGGCGGGAAAUGCGUAGAUUUUAGGAAGUAAACCGCUGUCGAAGGUCUCUUUUCAGUUUUCUCUUGGUGCGCUCGUCCGUCAAUCUCCCGCUCCAUUCGCCCAACCCCUUGCAGAUCCUGGCUGAUAUUCUCACAUGGGUAUCAUCGGGGGUACCGCCCUGUUGCGGCGUUGUUCUCGUCUGGUUUUCUGGUCUUUUAGUUUUCCUGUGAAAUUUCUUUCCAAACUAUGUUGGAACUAUGCUU
rnacentral:rRNA from 1 species